rnacentral:rRNA from 1 species
GACGAACGCUGGCGGCGUGCUUAACACAUGCAAGUCGAACGGAAAGGCCCCUUCGGGGGUACUCGAGUGGCGAACAGGUGAGUAACACGUGAGUAACCUGCCCUUGACUUCGGGAUAACUUCAGGAAACUGGGGCUAAUACCGGAUAGGAAUCCUUGCUGCAUGGUGGGGGUUGGAAAGCUUCGGCGGUUUUGGAUGGACUCGCGGCUUAUCAGCUUGUUGGUGGGGUAGUGGCUUACCAAGGCUUUGACGGGUAGCCGGCCUGAGAGGGCGACCGGCCACAUUGGGACUGAGAUACGGCCCAGACUCCUACGGGAGGCAGCAGUGGGGAAUAUUGCACAAGGGGCGGAAGCCUGAUGCAGCAACGCCGCGUGCGGGAUGACGGCCUUCGGGUUGUAAACCGCUUUCAGCAGGGGCGAAGCUUGUGGUGACGGUACCUGCAGAAGAAGCACCGGCUAACUACGUG